rnacentral:rRNA from 1 species
GCAUGCAAGUUGAGCGAAGCUUUUUGGUAGUUUACUACUAGAAAUGACUGAGCGGCGAACGGGUGAGUAACGCGUGAGCAAUCUACCUUAGUUACUGGGAUAGCCCGAGGAAACUCGGAUUAAUACCGGAUAUUCUUAUUUUUUCACAUGAAGUUUUAAGGAAAGGUCAGCCGAACUAAGAUGAGCUCGCGUUCUAUCAGCUAGUUGGUGGGGUAAAAGCCUACCAAGGCUACGACGGAUAGCUGGUCUGAGAGGACGAUCAGCCACACUGGGACUGAGACACGGCCCAGACUCCUACGGGAGGCUGCAGCAGGGAAUAUUGUGCAAUGAGCGAAAGCUUGACACAGCGACACCGCGUGUGGGAUGACGGUUCUAGGAUUGUAAACCACUUUCAGGAGGGAAGAAAAUGACGGUACCUCCACAAGAAGACCCGGCCAACUAUGUGCCAGCAGCCGCGGUAAUACAUAGGGGUCAAGCGUUGUCCGGAUUUAUUGGGCGUAAAGAGCUCGUAGGCGGUUCAACAAGUCGGUCGUAAAAGUUUAGGGCUCAACCCUAAAAUGUCGAUCGAUACUGUUGUGACUAGGAUACGGUAGAGGUGAAUGGAAUUCCGAGUGUAGCGGUGAAAUGCGUAGAUAUUCGGAGGAACACCAAUUGCGAAGGCAGUUCACUGGACCGUGAUCGACGCUGAGGAGCGAAAGCUAGGGGAGCAAACAGGAUUAGAUACCCUGGUAGUCCUAGCUGUAAACGAUGGAUACUAGAUGUAGGAACUGGAUUGACGGUUUCUGUAUCGUAGCUAACGCGUUAAGUAUCCCGCCUGGGGAGUACGGUCGCAAGACUAAAACUCAA